rnacentral:rRNA from 1 species
UACGGGAGGGUGCAAGCGUUAUCCGGAUUCACUGGGUUUAAAGGGUGCGUAGGCGGCUAUAUAAGUCAGUGGUGAAAGCCCGCAGCUCAACUGCGGAAUUGCCAUUGAAACUGCAUAGCUUGAAGUCUGGUUGAAGUGGGCGGAAUACAUCAUGUAGCGGUGAAAUGCUUAGAUAUGAUGUAGAACACCGAUUGCGAAGGCAGCUCACUAAGCCAACAUUGACGCUGAGCACGAAAGCGUGGGUAGCGAACAGG